UACGUAGGUGGCAAGCGUUGUCCGGAAUUAUUGGGCGCAAAGCGCGCGCAGGCGGUCCUUUAAGUCUGAUGUGAAAGCCCACGGCUCAACCGUGGAGGGUCAUUGGAAACUGGGGGACUUGAGUACAGAAGAGAAGAGUGGAAUUCCACGUGUAGCGGUGAAAUGCGUAGAGAUGUGGAGGAACACCAGUGGCGAAGGCGACUCUUUGGUCUGUAACUGACGCUGAGGCGCGAAAGCGUGGGGAGCAAACAGG
rnacentral:rRNA from 1 species